UGAUGUAGCUUCAACGAAGGUGCAGAAAUCGACGUGUCAACCAAUGAUAAAAGCAUCCAACUUUCAACGACCCCGAAAAUCAGCCGAGAACCAAUGACCUCGACAAAAGCCUCGUAAGCCUCAGCAGGUUGUCCAUUAAACAUCACGAAAGCUCGUUUCACUUUCGUUGAAGCACGCGUCGGGUUAUUUCCAAAUAUCAGUCCAUUCGAACGACACAACGUCACGAAGUCUACCUUCCAACCCUUUUCAUUCUACCGCUCGUUUCGUCCAAUACGGUCGUUUCCUUCUCUCGUUUUCGCUAGCACGAAGGGCUUACGCGUUACGCUACGUGACACGAGAAUCACGUUACACCCAUAUAACACGACCGCUAACGAUCACGGCUAAACGAGCCAGCUACGUGACUAAAUCACGAGCCACGCAAGUCCCGCGAGUCAUGAACGCGACGACCACGAUCCUCUCUCUGUCUGCAUAUCGACGUGGUAGAUACUCUUCUACGCUGCCGGCGAUACCAAGCGAGGAGAAGAGUGUGCAGCAUGGUGAAAAGUGCUCGUUAGCAUUUCCACGCGUAUUGACAUCUGCCGUGAAUGGUAAUGGCAAACUUUACCAACAUUUCCACGUACACGCGGCAUAGGAAACAUUCAACAUCGAUUGGAAAACUAGUAUGCCAUUAUAGGAUGGAAAAACGAGGAAAGGAAGCAAGGAACGAGAACUACGAAGGAAAAGAAAGGACGAAGAAUAAAAAAUUGACGAGAGUUCUACGGACUGACGCCGGCAGGUAAUUAAAAUACAGCGUCGAUAUCGCGUCGGGUAAUAUUAUCGAGCGCAUGUAAAUUGAAACACGAUAUCAGUUAGCGAUACUGUCUGCAACGCAUAUGCAUUCUCA